AUGCCCCGCGUCAAGUCCGGCUCUAGCGGCUGCUUGUUCUACCGGAGGAAGCACUCAUGGCGCUGCGAUGAGUUAGUGAGCAGGAGCACCCUGCAUCUGCUGGACUUUGAUGACGGUACACCACCAGAAGAUGCUUGGAGAAGAAAAUUAAGUAGUUACGCUAAUAGACUGAAGGAGUUCAAUGUGACGGUCAGAGAAGCAUUUAAAAUGAUGAAGCUUGGUCUCCAGCUUUGGUCAUAUGUUCGAGAGGAAGCUUCUCAUGGAAGGAUGUUUAUAACUAGAGAAGGAUGA
rnacentral:rRNA from 1 species